GGUCUAGCUAUACUGUUAUGGUGUUGGGUAUUUUGUUAUAGGGUUAUCUUAUUAGUUCUGUCAUUCAGGAUAACUGAUGUACCUUUUUACUUAAGCACUACCCCAAUGUGCACAGGCACCCACACACAUGCUCAUGCUGAGUAUAAGCACAGCACACCUGUAUGAGCUCACUUUCAUCUAGCAUCACCAAAAGUAUUCCAAGAAGAAAGAGAAGAAGAAUUGUAAAUUAAUCUGCCCAUUGACUAAGCAUCUUUGAGAAUGGUAACCUCUGAUAAAUAUUCUCUUAUUCUAUCCAUACUGGCUUGGCUGGGAUAGAGUUAAUUUUCUUCAAACAAAUAGCAGCUGGUAUGGGGCUGUCUUGGAUUUAUGCUGAAAACAGCAUUUACAAUAUAGGCAUGUUUUGGUUAAUGCUGGGUAAGCACUGCUCAGCCUGAAGGUUUUGUUCUGCUCCUCACCCCACCCCAUCAGUGAGCAGGAUGAGGGUGAACAAAGAGUUGGAAGGGAACACAGCCAGGACAGCUGACUCCAGCUGACCCAAGGGACAUUCCGUACCUUAUGAUGUCAUGCUCAGCAUAAAGAGCUGGGGAAAGGAGAAGAAAGUGGGGAUGUUUGGAGUGAUGAAAUUUUGUCUUCCCAAGUAACCACUAUACGUGAUGGACCCCUGUUUUCCUGGGGAUGGCUGAAUGCCUACCUGCUGAUGGGAAAUGGUGAAUGAAUUCCUUAUUUUGCUUUAUUUGUGCAUGUGGCUUUUGCUUUAUCUGUUGAACUACUUUUAUCUCAAUCCACACAUUUUCUUACUUUCACCUUUCUGAUUGUCUCACCCAUCCCACUAGUGGAUGUCUUCAUGCAGAAAUCCACAUGUAUGAAUUACAGACACAUUCACAGCUACCUGGAGGUGUGCCUUAGAGAUCUUUACACACAGUGACUUCAACACUCCUGUCCAGCUGUAGCACUCUUUCUAGAAUACCUCUGCAAUAGCAGUGUUUCCUGAGAGAACUGGCAAAGCACCAAGUCACCAUUUCAUAAUUGCCCAGACUGGGCACUUUUCUCACAAUAUUUCAUAAGUAGCUUGGAGUGUGCUCUGGGCAUGAAGAGCACCCAGUUGCACAAGAGGUCAUAAACUUGUUAACCAAUUAGAUAUCACUUUAUAUAUCUCAGCUAUUAACACAAACAGUCUGACUUUAGGAACAGCUUAACCCUGCAGAUAAAAGAAGAUUCUUUAUGUGAAGACUGUGAACAGAAGUCUAUGAAGCUUGUACCUUAACUUUCCAGCAGCUCCUUAGCUGUCCGGCUGCGCUUCCUCUCCCAGCGAGCCCUCUGCUCUUCCACAGUGUUUGCUCCAGCCAUAAACAGCAGGGGCAAGUCACUCAUGACAACCUCAGGGCUGAUACACAGAAAGGUACAUCAACCAGAGGAGCAGUGUAAGAAAGACCAAACCAUGAAAACAAAAGCAGUACAUUACAAUAUGUCUAUGAAUAAUUCUCAAGCAUGCAAUCCCACUCACAAACCACUGCUUCCUGUGCUUUGCCCCAUUAUUUGUGCAAAAUUUUCUGUAAGCCCAAGGAAGCCAGUGGGUGGCAGAGGUACUGUGGGUAGGAGCAGAAAGCGGCCAUAAGAUUUGCCUUGGGGAGGAAAGAGAAAGAAAGAGCACAUUCUUGCUUUUUUUUCCCAUGGAGGUUUCCAAGAAACAAGUGGUUUGCAUUGUCAUUUUCUAACAGUAUUUUGUGGUUUGAGAUGAGAGAAACUCAGUAACUGCUGUGAAUCACACUAUCCACUUAGUGACCAGUUUCACUGCUGCUCUUCUCUUCUGCAAGAGCAUCAUGUUUUGUUACAAAGAAAAACACUCCCUCUUUUACUGCCUUCCUCAGAGAAAGACGCAUGUGUUAGCUCAGCACCAGUUAAAUAUUGCUCUGCCUUUUGAUCAAAAGGCAGCGCAGGCUGUUGCACACUUGCCAUGGCACGGAGCCUGGAGUUUCUCUGGAAGCUGAACUACCUCCACGAAAGUUCAUACCUAUGUGGAUGAGAUACACGAAUACAUGAAGAUGUGUCACCUUAGGGAAGGAAAUUCGUCAAAUACAGCCUUCCAGAGAUAUUUGAUACCUAAACAAAUGUCUGAAACAAAAGUUUCACAUCAAAUGAGUAUCAAGACUUGUUUAAUGAGUUAGCAGAAGUCUGGAUAGCGAGGGGCAUGGGCAGCAUUUUAUAGCAGCAGAAGCUUCUCUAGAGGUUUAUGCUCAGAUUCAUUCAUGACACAACCACAGGCCUAGCUAAGGCCAUGUCUCAGUCAAACAGGGUAGACCCAGCACCCCUGCAGGUAAUACCACGCCAGAGCUUAGUGACAGCGUGCAGAAAU